AUACUUGUUCCUGUUAACGAGAGGGCUGGUCUAUCUUGCUUUAGUUGCUAGGCGUGUAGGGGCGGAGAAUCUAAAAGAGGGCGAGUAACGUCUCGAUGUCGACUUUCUUUCUUUAUAAUCAAAUAAGAAAAAUAGGAUUCCACACGGAGCUUUCUGGUUCCCUUGCCUAGCCAGGAGAGUCUCCUUGAGUGCUCGUUUCCAGAGUCAACCUGUGUGCGUCUGUUCUGGCAAAGGGGAAGAAGGAGAAGAUUGCACUUUCCCUGACGCGAGCUACUUUCCCGUUCCCGGGGUGGAAACCACUUGACUUUCUACAACACCCCCGCUUGAUGGUUCCCUUGUGCUAACGAGAGUGACUGUUUUCAUCAGCUUACGGAGCUGCACCGGUAAGUAUCUAAUUAUGUAUAGAAGCGGGUGACUCUGCAAGUGUAUAGUGUAUUCGGGGUGAACUCAACUCUACCUCUGUGCUAUAUGAGUAGGUGUGUAGCUUUCCUCUGUGCUUUAGUGCAAUGUAUAGAUGUAAGUGAACCUAUAAUGUAAUAGAAUGUAUGUAAGUAAUGUCAUAGAAUGGAUGUAAGUAAACCUAUAAUGUAAUAGAAUGUAUGUAAGUGAACCGUAAAAACGGUUCUAUCCCGAAACAACGGAUCGCAGAUCCCAUCCCAAACUAAAAAGGGACUCUGUCUACCGAACAAGGAUCUUCCCAUCCUUCCACCAAAGCCACAAAACCUCCUGUAUCACCAUCUACACCCAAAGAGGGAUAAGCCUAUUCUAAGGGAAGAUAAAGCCCUACAGAAAAGAGAUCUAAAGCACCCCAGAGAAAUAGAUCCCUACCUGGUAAAGAUAUACUCAAUAGAUGGACCACUCUUUGCGGGAAGAGAGAGGAACCAUGGAUAGACGACUCUUUCCGGGAAGAGAGAGGACAUGGAAUAGCCAUUGGAUUCGAUCCGAUAGACCCUUCGUAUGGAUACUCCUAUCAAGACGCACUUUUAGGCCAUUUUCUUAGCGGAGGCAAACAAAGUCAAGUACUCAAGGGAGAAGCAAGCGAAAUCAAUUCCGUAAUAACCUUAAGGGGCCAGCUAGCUAUAAAUCUCCUAAGAAAACCCAUCCAUAAAGAAAGGAAAGGCCAAGGCGGGUACAUGGACUUACUAGAAAUCUUACCCGAGGAACUGCAAGAGGCUCGCAAGCAUUAGGAUAAGAAAGGAGAACCAAGGCAAGCACAUGGCCUGCAAGUUCGCUUGGAAGGAUAUUGUUCUCAGUGAUAGCAAGAGCCCUUGAAGUCUUUGAGUCUUCUAUUUAUUCACUAUUUACCUACUUCUAUUAUUAUCUACAGGUANNNNNNNNNNNNNNNNNNNNGCUUUCUUUGGAAGAGGGGAACUCUCAAGAGAAAGACAGACAGAAACAGUAAAGGCUUGCGCAAUUGGAGGUGCAGACUUUAGCACUAUUUCUCGCUCGAAGGAUAACUCAAGGCUCAAAAGAAAUACAGGCGCAGAAAGAUUAGAUGCCUUUAGGAAUGCUACCUUUAAGACUCAAACUAGAUCGAAUGGAGAAGGGCUGGAGUGAAAGCGAAAUCCAAGACAUGACAGCGGAAUAACAACUCUAAACAGUCGAAGUAAGUAGGUCAAUGCCAAUGAUAAAGACGCCUAGAAAAGUCCUAAGGAAAGCAAAUAACAUAGAAAAUCAGAGGUGUUGUAGCAGUUAAGUAUCCAGGUGUUAACGACGAAACGGAAUAUGAAUUAGAGUUUCCCCUGGUUGUAGAGAAUUGCCGGAUAGUACCGCUCGCUAUUCCCUGUCAUAGAGUUCCAUUUCUUGAUCUUUGAUGGUUCCGUUGCUUGUCGACUUGUUUAAUUGAAAAAGUAGGAAUGGAGUUUAAGACUGACUAACGCGAAAGGGCUCUGGUCUCUGGGAAUGAGGGCGGUGCGAGUGAAGUUGUAUCAAUUGGGCGUUUGUAAGCUGCAAUGAUGGUUGUCUUUGAAAUUCCUACCUGUAAUGCUCUUAAGUCCCUAGGUGUUAUAUAACAUCAGCGAUGAAAUCAAUCUUGGACUGAAGACUCCACUGUUACUGUCUUUACUGCUAGGUACGGGAACUAGAUGUGAUUCCCUCUAAGUAAAUCUGUUAUUGGCACUUUAUUGACCCUUAUUGUCCACUAGGUCUGAAG
rnacentral:lncRNA from 1 species